GGGGCAGCAUAAUGGAUAGCAAUAUCUAUGGUGGCGACCGGCGCACGGGUGCGUAACGCGUAUGCAACCUACCUUAACAGGGGGAUAACACUGAGAAAUUGGUACUAAUACCCCAUAAUAUCAUAGAAGGCAUCUUUUAUGGUUGAAAAUUCCGAUGGUUAGAGAUGGGCAUGCGUUGUAUUAGCUAGUUGGUGGGGUAACGGCUCACCAAGGCGACGAUACAUAGGGGGACUGAGAGGUUAACCCCCCACACUGGUACUGAGACACGGACCAGACUCCUACGGGAGGCAGCAGUGAGGAAUAUUGGUCAAUGGACGCAAGUCUGAACCAGCCAUGCCGCGUGCAGGAUGACGGCUCUAUGAGUUGUAAACUGCUUUUGUACGAGGGUAAACGCAGAUACGUGUAUCUGUCUGAAAGUAUCGUACGAAUAAGGAUCGGCUAACUCCGUGCCAGCAGCCGCGGUAAUACGGAGGAUUCAAGCGUUAUCCGGAUUUAUUGGGUUUAAAGGGUGCGUAGGCGGUUUGAUAAGUUAGAGGUGAAAUUUCGGGGCUCAACCCUGAACGUGCCUCUAAUACUGUUGAGCUAGAGAGUAGUUGCGGUAGGCGGAAUGUAUGGUGUAGCGGUGAAAUGCUUAGAGAUCAUACAGAACACCGAUUGCGAAGGCAGCUUACCAAACUAUAUCUGACGUUGAGGCACG
rnacentral:rRNA from 1 species